rnacentral:rRNA from 1 species
AGUGAACGCUGGCGGUAGGCCUAACACAUGCAAGUCGAACGGCAGCACAGUAAGAGCUUGCUCUUACGGGUGGCGAGUGGCGGACGGGUGAGGAAUACAUCGGAAUCUACUUUUUCGUGGGGGAUAACGUAGGGAAACUUACGCUAAUACCGCAUACGACCUACGGGUGAAAGCAGGGGAUCUUCGGACCUUGCGCGAUUGAAUGAGCCGAUGUCGGAUUAGCUAGUUGGCGGGGUAAAGGCCCACCAAGGCGACGAUCCGUAGCUGGUCUGAGAGGAUGGUCAGGCACCAUGGAACUUGAGAAACGGCCCAGCUCCUUAGGGAAGGCACAGUGGGGAAAUAUUGGAAAUGGGGGGAAACCUUGAUCAAGCCUACCGGGUUGGGUGAAGAAGGCCUCCGGUUGGUAAAGCCUUUUUUUGGGAAAAAAAAGCAAGCGGUUUAUACCCCGCUGUUCUGACGGUACCCAAAGAAUAAGCACCGGCUAACUUCGUG